rnacentral:rRNA from 1 species
UACGUAGGGGGCGAGCGUUAUCCGGAUUUACUGGGUGUAAAGGGAGCGUAGACGGUUUUUCAAGUCUGAAGUGAAAGCCCGCGGCUCAACUGCGGAACGGCUUUGGAAACUGAGGGACUAGAGUGCUGGAGGGGCAGGCGGAAUUCCUGGUGUAGCGGUGAAAUGCGUAGAUAUCACACAGAACACCGAUUGCGAAGGCAUCUCACGAAUCCGCGAUUGACGCUGAUGCACGAAAGCGUGGGUAUCAAACAGG